GCCUAAAGAGCAGGCUCUUUUUGAUGAGCUGAGCCGAACGAGCCGGCUCACUGAAAAGAGCCGGAAUUCCCAUCACUAAUAACUGUACAGUUUUACUUGAUCUCUCAGGUAUGACCUGAUGAAGUUCUGCUGGAUGUGGAGCUUCAAAGACCGGCCUGUGUUGUCAGCCAUCAUCAAGCUUCUGGAGUCCUACACAUUCCUGGCUGGCACUAGACAUCUACAUCCCAGAUGGCAUAGACAUCUUUGACUACACCAAGAGGGCAGGUGUGCUCCUCUAAAUAUCUAGCCUAAAGCAUCACAUUCAUGAAGAGGCUAAAAGCAAGCAGGGGCAGACUGGCCAUCUGGCAUUUCUGGCAUAUGCCAGAUGGCUGGUCCAUUUUUAGCUCAGUGAGCCUGUUAAUGAUAAUUUUCAACCAAAAAAAGUUCUGGCAAUUAUCUGCCGAUAAGCUAGGAUUUGGCCAGUGAGGGGGGCCUCAAAUGGCCUGGUGUGUUAGACGCCAGGGCCGAUUUCUGGUCCCAGUCUGCCCCUGAAAGCAAGGAUUUGGUCCCUUACAAAGUAUGGCUGUAGUUGAUUCUAGGUUCAUGUGUACUGUACUGUGGUAUCAACAUCCAGAGAGAUUUUAUUAAACCGAGAUGAAAUGUUGUAAAUGAUUUAACAUAAGGGUGUGUAAGUAUUGUAUGGCGACUGCAACCUAUAGCCUUAUUGUAAGAUUGCACAAAAUGUUGUACAACCACACUGGGGAUUUUUGGAUGAGUGAGACUUUCAGCACAAAAUGGACGUCAGGAAGAAAAAUCUUCUAAUGUUAUUGUCACAAUCCCUCACCUCACAUGUUUGGUCCAUCAGUAGUGAAUUCUUUUUGAAAUUGUACAGAUAUAAUAAGCGUUCUUGAUGUCAUCUUGUCAUGAAACCAGGCAAGUCAUUAUAAAUCACCACUUUAUUGUCAAAGGUACAGAAUAAAAAAU
rnacentral:lncRNA from 1 species